rnacentral:rRNA from 1 species
AUUGAACGCUGGCGGCAUGCCUUACACAUGCAAGUCGAACGGCAGCAUGAUCUAGCUUGCUAGAUUGAUGGCGAGUGGCGAACGGGUGAGUAAUACAUCGGAACGUGCCCUGUAGUGGGGGAUAACUAGUCGAAAGAUUAGCUAAUACCGCAUACGACCUGAGGGUGAAAGUGGGGGACCGCAAGGCCUCAUGCUAUAGGAGCGGCCGAUGUCUGAUUAGCUAGUUGGUGAGGUAAAGGCUCACCAAGGCGACGAUCAGUAGCUGGUCUGAGAGGACGAUCAGCCACACUGGGACUGAGACACGGCCCAGACUCCUACGGGAGGCAGCAGUGGGGAAUUUUGGACAAUGGGCGAAAGCCUGAUCCAGCAAUGCCGCGCGUGUGAAGAAGGCCUUCGGGUUGUAAAGCACUUUUGUCCGGAAAGAAAUGGCUCUGGUUAAUACCUGGGGUCGAUGACGGUACCGGAAGAAUAAGGACCGGCUAACUACGUG